GAGUUUGAUCCUGGCUCAGAUUGAACGCUGGCGGCAUGCCUUACACAUGCAAGUCGAACGGCAGCAUGAUCUAGCUUGCUAGAUUGAUGGCGAGUGGCGAACGGGUGAGUAAUACAUCGGAACGUGCCCUGUAGUGGGGGAUAACUAGUCGAAAGAUUAGCUAAUACCGCAUACGACCUGAGGGUGAAAGUGGGGGACCGCAAGGCCUCAUGCUAUAGGAGCGGCCGAUGUCUGAUUAGCUAGUUGGUGGGGUAAAGGCCCACCAAGGCGACGAUCAGUAGCUGGUCUGAGAGGACGAUCAGCCACA
rnacentral:rRNA from 1 species